UUAGGGCGAGCAACGGAAGGAACAUAGUCAAAGCAGUGGGACUUCUCAACACUUCGAUUUUGAGAGUGCAGACAACGAAGAAGCUGCAGGUGAGGAUCUCGAUAAAGAAGGACUGCUGACCAAUAUCCAAAUUGUAGGGAUGUGGACCCGGUUUUAUAAUUAAAAAAUAUUUAAUUUUUCGAGGAAUUAGGUCUUACUAGUUCCGAAAUAGUCUGGCAGCCUUGUUACCUCAGGAAAAUACUAAACGAUAUGUUCGUUAUUUCCAACACUACUUGUCAAAUUCCUUGAGGCCAGCCAUCGCCAUUUGCCAUUUUGUUCUUCUAAUUCUGGGCAUUCGUAAAAAGCACACGCGCUUUACCUUUUAUAAGUGUUCUUCACAAGCUAGAACUCAAUAACCGCCGAACUUUUGCGCCAGCUUCAACUGUUGUUAAAUCAACAAGGAAUUUGACGGGAGUGGCGAGAAUUAGUGUGGAUUCGUAGUCAACGCGAUCUUGCUCGCGGCCUUAACAUCUAACGAGUCGUAUUACCACGAAAUAAGGUGAGCAUAGGAAAAUUUGGGAUUUCGUCUACUAAAUGGAAACGUACUAGGAACGCCAAACUAGCGUGAAACGGUAUUGCCUGUAGCUUUUUUUUUGGGGAUCUUGGCGGCCACUGCGUGGAGACGACGUUAACCUCGACUCAGGGUACGCAUCAAUCCCAACCCCAAAACCGCACCAGUGAUCACUGCAAGUUGCCCUUGCAGAAUCUUGGCUGCUACCGCGUGGAGCCGGCCUGAAUCUCGAGUCGAGCCGCACGCCAUCUAUAACCUCCAAUACGUUUUCAUUAAUCCUGCCCAGCGAACACAGCUGUCGACUCCGCUCAAACCCAGUUUGGAAAAUUCUGAACCACCAUAUAUCAUCACGUUACACAAUCUGCAUGUCUCCGUAUAACCAAAGACUUUGUUUUCUAAUUUUUAUGUACUCCAAUCCUAAAAUAAUACUAAUCAAUAAGAAAUAUUAUAUCGAUAGAAUGGUAUUGUAAGUGUAUUUGGCCUUAGAUUGAUUCCAUUCUAACAAUGUUAUGUAAUCCUCACAACAAUUAACAGCAAGUCCACCGGCCUGUUGACUACGUUGGAAUUUCAGCUGUCAAAGAAGGUUGUAUUUAAUAACCGAGGAGUCAUUGCCACAAACAGCGUUGGAUGUUGCGACUCGUUGGAAUAAAACAUACAAUGAUGAGCAAGUUGCAACAAAAAAUUUGGCAGCAAAUGAGUGGAGUGCUGUAAGAAGGCUCGUGAGAUACCGUCUAACCAGCGUAUAUUGCCACUGAGAAAACACAUUGGUUUGUGAGUGACUUUUACAAGCUAAGGCUUGAGCUCAAGCCAACUGUUGCAGCAGCGGAUAGCACUGAAAGCCAGACAUUGAUCCAGUGCAUCCGUGAAAGGGAAGAGAGCGUUUUGGGAUGUAAGCCUAAAUUUGCAGCAUAUACUUGGACCCACGCAUCAGACGAGUUUUGCUACAAAUCCAAUUAGCGUAAUGCUCUCCAGAACUUAUUUUAAACCUAUUUAAAUUGAAAAAAAAACAGUUAGUAUUUAUGUAAUUUAUUAAUUUAAACUUAUAACUUAUGAAAAUAACAUUGCAGACUUCACAGCCUUCCUGCAGUACGUCAAACGCUUCAACGUUGUUUGAGGCUGAUAAUUUAUUAGUUUCGCAAAGCUCGAACACCUAUUCGUUAUUGAACGAGUUCUUGCAAACGAAUGACGUAGCUUCAGGAUGAAACUGAUGGUGGGCCAACGGAAAAAAUUAAGAAGCGGAACAACAAAACUUACGGCUAUAGCCCUAAGCCAAUAUGCGCAACCACCAAUAUAAUGGAGUAUUGGGAUUAAAAGAAUUACGUAUACCCUAAUUUAUACCAGCUGACCGAAGUGGUACAUUCAGUUCCUGCAACUUAAGUGAGCGUUGAAAAAUCAUUUUUGGCACUCAAAAUGAUGCUCACAGACCAACGAUGCAACCUUGGUGAAGAAUCAUUGAAUAAAUUAUUUUUUCUAAAACUAAUUAAUAAAUAAACUUAAAAAUAAA